UACGAAGGGGGCUAGCGUUGCUCGGAAUCACUGGGCGUAAAGCGCACGUAGGCGGCUUGUUAAGUCAGGGGUGAAAUCCUGGAGCUCAACUCCAGAACUGCCUUUGAUACUGGCGAGCUUGAGUCCGGGAGAGGUGAGUGGAACUGCGAGUGUAGAGGUGAAAAUUCGUAGAUAUUCGCAAGAACACCAGUGGCGAAGGCGGCUCACUGGCCCGGUACUGACGCUGAGGUGCGAAAGCGUGGGGAGCAACAGG
rnacentral:rRNA from 1 species